rnacentral:rRNA from 1 species
CCCUUAGAUGUCCUGGGCCGCACGCGCGCUACACUGACAUGUUCAACAAGCCUCCUAGUUCGACAGGAUUUGGGAAAUCUUUGAACGCAUGUCGUGAUAGGGAUAGAUCAUUGCAAUUAUCGAUCUUGAACGAGGAAUUCCUAGUAAACGCGAGUCAUCAGCUCGCAUUGAUUACGUCCCUGCCCUUUGUACACACCGCCCGUCGCACCUACCGAUUGAAUGUUUCGGUGAAGAUUCCGGAUAGGACUUUUUUGAUUUAUUUCAAUUCUGUCUUAAAAGCUAUCUAAACCUCAACAUUUAGAGGAAGGUGAAGUCGUAACA